rnacentral:ribozyme from 1 species
UUUGAAAAGGCGUUGUCCGAAGAAAAGCCAAAGAAAGCGCCCGCGGCGGCGAAGAAGGCGGCGGCGAAGAAAACACCGGCACAAGCAAAAUCAAAA